rnacentral:pre_miRNA from 1 species
UUUAAGUGCAGUUGUGGGUUUAUAUGUUCAACAUUUGACCGUCCGUUUUAUUUAAAAUUUUUGUAUAAGUAGUAUUUUUGUUAUAUUAGAUGAUAAAAAUAAAUAGUACUUUAUGUAUGACUUUUUUUUCAAAUAAGACGGACGGUUAAAUGUUGGACACGGAAACCCGUAUCUGCACCUAAA